rnacentral:rRNA from 1 species
UACAGAGGUCUCAAGCGUUUGUUCGGAUUCAUUGGGCGUAAAGGGUGCGUAGGCGGCGCGGUAAGUCGGGUGUGAAAUCUCGGAGCUUAACUUCGAAACUGCAUUCGAUACUGCCGUGCUUGAGGACUGGAGAGGAGACUGGAAUUUACGGUGUAGCGGUGAAAUGCGUAGAUAUCGUAAGGAAGACCAGUGGCGAAGGCGGGUCUCUGGACAGUUCCUGACGCUGAGGCACGAAGGCCAGGGGGAGCAAAACGGGG